rnacentral:ncRNA from 1 species
GAGAGCCAAAUGAAUCGAAAGAUUCAUGUUUGGUUCCGAAAGAGAUCAUAAAAGAAUUAAAUUAAUUAGGCCUUGAACUUCUACUUUCGU